UAGAACGUUGCGAGUGCGAAGUGUAAUAAGACGUUGCGAGUAUGAAAUGCCGUUUUCUGAGUCGUUUUUAAAUCAAAGAUUUAACGAAAGAGAGAAACUUACAUUGUCGCUAUGACAUUCUCACAACAGCCGCUUACCUUUUCUACGCACUGGAAUUGAGCCGGGCUUAUUCGGCCAAGGGCUGUUAUUUCGGAAUUCUAUUCCCAUUUAGAUCGCUUCAACCUUCCUACGAAAACCAUUCACAACACAAUUCAGUACUCUAAUAUUUUACUUGACGCAAAGUGGGUUUUGUGUUUCUCCUCCAGAUGUAUUGUUCCAAGGACUUUCCUAAGGUCCUCCAUCUUAUGUACCAAUUUGUAGGAUAACGUCUACUUGACGCCUACCAGAGAAACAGUCAACACCUUUACCUACUUUCUGCAUGUGGAAGAAGUUGUAGAAUUGAAAGCACCAACAAUCACAGACUGUAAGCUCGAGCCGUUUCACGAAUUUAGCCAUAUAUCGGGAAGAUUUGAUAGGAUCAGCCUGGAUUUUUCUCAUGAUGGCGUUAUCAGKAUUUUCCGUUGUUUAACGUCAUGAAGUUAUUUUCCUCGAACAAUUCAUAAUUUUGUCAAUCGGAAUACGACGCAAAUUUCCACAAUUUUUUUUUUUUAACUUUAACUUGAUUUAGGAAGUGUGCCAUUCCUCUGCCCAUGACUAUAUCCAUAUACUCAUACAAAUGUAAAAUAAAUAAGUCCAUCAAUUUUUUGUCUUCCGUGUAAAAUAUACGUUUUUAUU